rnacentral:rRNA from 1 species
UACGGAGGGGACUAGCGUUGUUCGGAAUUACUGGGCGUAAAGCGCACGUAGGCGGAUUGUUUAGUCAGGGGUGAAAUCCCGAGGCUCAACCUCGGAACUGCCUUUGAUACUGGCAAUCUCGAGUCCGGAAGAGGUGAGUGGAAUUCCUAGUGUAGAGGUGAAAUUCGUAGAUAUUAGGAAGAACACCAGUGGCGAAGGCGGCUCACUGGUCCGGUACUGACGCUGAGGUGCGAAAGCGUGGGGGAGCAAACAGG